AGGUAGUGACGAAAAAUAACGAUACGGGACUCAUCCGAGGCCCCGUAAUCGGAAUGAGCACACUUUAAAUCCUUUAGCAAGGAUCCAUUGGAGGGCAAGUCUGGUGCCAGCAGCCGCGGUAAUUCCAGCUCCAAUAGCGUAUAUUAAAGUUGUUGCGGUUAAAAAGCUCGUAGUUGAAUUUGUGUACCACGCUGUUGGUUCACCGCUCGCGGUGUAACUGACUGGCCAGUGGUACGUCCUACCGGUGAACAACGCCCCGUCAGGGGCUGUUCUUUAAUCCCAUCGCGAUGCCUCUCAACGGGUGUCGAGGUGGGCCGGUACGUUUACUUUGAACUAAUUAGAGUGCUUAAAGCAAGCGAGAAGCUUGAAUAUUUUGUGCAUGGAAUAAUGGAAUAGGACGUUGGCUCUAUUUUGUUGGUUUGCGGAAUCCCGAUGUAAUGAUUAAUAGGGACAGACGGGGGCAUUCGUAUUGCGACGUUAGAGGUGAAAUUCUUGGAUCGUCGCAAGACGGACUAAAGCGAAAGCAUUUGCCAAGCAUGUUUUCAUUAAUCAAGAACGAAAGUUAGAGGUUCGAAGGCGAUCAGAUACCGCCCUAGUUCUAACCAUAAACGAUGCCAGCUAGCGAUCCGCCGAAGUUCCUCCGAUGACUCGGCGGGCAGCU
rnacentral:rRNA from 1 species